rnacentral:rRNA from 1 species
GUGGGGAAUAUUGGACAAUGGGCGCAAGCCUGAUCCAGCCAUGCCGCGUGAGUGAUGAAGGCCUUAGGGUUGUAAAGCUCUUUCAGUGGGGAAGAUAAUGACUGUACCCACAGAAGAAGCCCCGGCUAACUCCGUGCCAGCAGCCGCGGUAAUACGGAGGGGGCUAGCGUUGUUCGGAAUUACUGGGCGUAAAGCGCACGUAGGCGGACUGGAAAGUCAGGGGUGAAAUCCCGGGGCUCAACCCCGGAACUGCCUUUGAAACUCCCAGUCUUGAGGUCGAGAGAGGUGAGUGGAAUUCCGAGUGUAGAGGUGAAAUUCGUAGAUAUUCGGAGGAACACCAGUGGCGAAGGCGGCUCACUGGCUCGAUACUGACGCUGAGGUGCGAAAGCGUGGGGAGCAAACAGGAUUAGAAACCCCUGUAGUCC